rnacentral:lncRNA from 1 species
CCUGAGACAAUCAGCUUCUCACUACAGCUGUGACUUAAUCACUGAGGAGAGGGGGAAGAGAUGAGGAGUGUCUGUGAAAGGGUGCAGGAGAGAUCAUGAUAGUGAACAGAGAGAGAGAUAUAAACAGAGAGGUAGAGAGAGGUAGAGAGAGGUAGAGAGAGAGAGAGAGAGACAGAGAGAGAGAGAGAGAGAGUUACAUUGAGAAGAGAGAGAGAGAGAGAGAGAGAGAGAGAGAGUUACAUUGAGAAGUCAUGCAGAAGAACAGCUCCUGACUUGUUAUAACUUUUUGGUUGUUAAGAGCGAGAUUGACACGACUAAAUUAGCAAAAAAUGUAUAGGUAAUCUAAUUGUACAACUGAAGAUCAAAACAGGAGGAAAAGAUUGACAGAGAGUGAGUAAAAAGACCAAUCUUCAUCGUGGUAGCUAGCCAAAUUCAAAUCUGUCAGCUAGCUCACCGUCUAGCUCUAACCGUUUACUGGUGGUAACCAAAGCAACAUGGCCACUGAGGCAGCGCUAGCAGCGACAGCAACGGCAGAGACUGAGAGACUUUCUCCGUUGUUUUUUGAAUACCCAGCAGAAAUCAAAUCAGAGAAGGGAAGAAUCAACUUUAAACACAGAAUUCUGAGGGAGAACCCAGAAACUUUGUUUGCCGACUGCUCACAAAACGGGACUGUUACAAACCUGCUAUUUUACACAGACCACACUACUGCCUGGCAUACAGCUGUAACUAGCCAUUUCAGCUAUACCACGAAGAAAGGCAUCUGCAAGGGAAGACAAAUCCACAUUUUUGAGGACAGCGAUAAGGACCAGGAAAACAGGUUUCUGACGGUAAACAUGUAUCAGAACGGCACUAUCAUGGUCCAGGGCAGUGAGGCUGCAAUCAGCUCUGUUGUGCAGGACUUCCCCACCCUAAUGAAGAUAGCAGAAAGUAAAAAAGACAAGGACAGCACCCCGACCUCUCCCCUCACCUCAGGCACCCCAACAGCAGGACUAUCCUCCCCCCUGCCUGCCUACAACCACCAGAGCCAAGACCACACUACCAUCAGCCUGUUGAGAGACAGGCUGGCUCUGUUAGAGGUAUGGGUUACUGAGCUGAAGGAGCAGCCCCCCAGCUACACCACCUCCAGCCCAGACACAGAGCUUCUACAGGACCAGAUCAACCAGUGCAGGACCCAGCUGAAGAACUCUGUCCAGGAGCUGAGAGAGAGCCUUACCACAGCGCUUGAGGAGGUAAAGGCCACCAUGAGGAGAGAGCUAGUGCAGGUAAAGGAGGAGAUGGCAAAGGAGUUGUCUGUCAUCAAGAGGGUGCUACAGCAGAGAGAACAGACUGUAGAGACUCCCAGAGAGAAGCUGCAGCCCCUCACCACCCCUAACAACCCCACUGACCCACCUUUACCCACAAUCCCCCCCCAUACCGACAACACUUUACCCACACCCCCAGUCAACAAAGAGGCCCACAUAGAGACACCUACUACAGAG